CAAUAAAGGAAACAUAAUAAUGUGCACAGAAAUUAAAUUGGAUUUUUAGGCCUGCCUUUUCUGAUGCCAUUUGGCUUUUAUGUGGAGACAUGGUUCCGGAACAAAAUA